rnacentral:rRNA from 1 species
GAUGAACGCUAGCGGCAGGCCUAAUACAUGCAAGUCGAACGGAUACCUUCGGGUAUUAGUGGCGUACGGGUGCGUAACGCGUAAACAAUCUACCUCAUACUGGGGGAUAGCCCUGGGAAACCGGGAGUAAGCCCGCAUGGUACCACCGGAUUUCAUGGUUUGGUGGUUAAAAGAUUUAUUGGUAUGAGAUGAGUUUGCGU